CCCUCAUCCCUCAGACCCAGGGGUCCAGAACCCCAGUCCCUCCUCCCUCAGAUCCAGGAGCCCAGACCCCUAGUCCCUCCUCCCUUCCAAAAGUCCAAGCUCCCAACCCCUUUCUCCCUCAGAUUCACAUGUCCAGUGUCCCAGAAUUCCUUGCAGGGAGAGAUGACCAUGGCUGGUAGUAGCCAAGACAAGGACAGAUGAAACCAGGCACUCCCACAGGAGGCAAGAGGUAGUGGCAGGAUCACCUCUAGCUCCCCUCACUGACAGCCAUCUCUUCCAGAACCCUCCACUCCAGUGGAGGCUGAUCUCUCUUCCGUGCCCUGGGUACACAAUGGCCCUCUCAAGAUUUCCAACCUCACCAGAAAACAUCAGAGUUUGGUUUACAGAAAACCAGGACAGAAGGGGUGAAGAGUAGGGAGAUAAUAAGGCAGAUGUGGAGAAAGGGCAGAAGAAAAGAAUAUUUGUUCACUAUAGGGACAUCUCCUGCACCGCUGGUGGGCCAGGCUCUCGGCUGGGUGAUGCCAGGCACACAGAGAUGACUCAGACCUGGGCCCUGCCCUUGUGGAGAUGCCAAUCUUGCGAAGGAGACAGCUGUGUAAACAGAGGAUCAAAGAGCAGUGCAAAGAUGCUUUAACCCAGCUGGAGAAUCAGGGUGGGCUUCCUGGAAGAGGUGAUGUCCUAGAGGAGCAGAAUCCUAACUAAUGAGGAGUUAGCUAAGAUCCUGUGUUAGAGAAAACUGAAAUUCAAAAAGUACCUUCCAGACCAUUUAAAGUUACAUACAUGGUUCAUGGUUCUACGGAACUUCAAUGCCCUACAGUCUGAAAAGUAACUUGCAGAUAUUCCUCCGCCCCUCUCUGCCCCAACUAACCACAGAGACACCCUGAGAACUGUUUGUCCUCAAGAAUCUUUAAGGCAGUCAUUUGCAAAGCAAUGAAUAAGGAAGAUUCUGCAAUGACAGGAGAGGAUACACUGUGCACCUAUUACUCCACCACAGUUUGAGGGUGGACAGGAAGCCUGCUAUCUGCAACCAGUACAAGUUAUGGUGGCUCCCAUUUACUGAGCCUCUUCUACGACGGGCCAUCACUUUGCAGCAUCCCCACUCUUCCUGCCUCUGAGCUCAGCAAGUUCCAAACUGGCUAAACAUCAUCAUCACCAAAUGACAGAAGAAGAAACUCUGGCUUGGAGAGGGGAGGCGACUGCCCUAAGAUCUAGGGCUGCAGUUUUGAGGAGGCAGAGCUGAGUCCUGUAGAUGGGUCCCAUGGAAUAGCCUGCACCAGUGUCUUCAUGUGGAGACCAGGCAUCACUGCUCUGGAAGACUACUGCUUCCCUAUUACCCUCAUUUCCCAUCGUCCAUAAUAAUUCCUUUGGCCUUUCUGCUUUCUCCUUAAAGCCCUGAACCUCCUCUAGCGUGCCCACUCACAGCUGAUGCCCUUGCUUUGUACUCCACCAAAUCCACCCUUCUGUCUGCUCCUGCAUGGCUGUUCUUUGCUUUUGCCUCCGUGACCAACAAGCAAGUACCCCUUCCCAAGACCUAUCCUUCUACUUGUCUUCUGAAUCUCACCCCAUCCCACUUUCUCAAGAACUACCUUCCUUCACUUUCCCCCUUUCUCCUGUAGCAACAAUAUUUUCUCUCUACUCCAUCAUUCUCACCUGCACCCCAAUAUGGUCUAGAACCUCUUAUCUUAUAAAAAAUGUAUUCUUUGAGGGGUGCCUACGUGGCUCGGUUAAACAUCUGCCUUUGGUUCCCAGGGUC